AUUGAACGCUGGCGGCAGGCCUAACACAUGCAAGUCGAGCGGAUGAAGGGAGCUUGCUCCUGGAUUCAGCGGCGGACGGGUGAGUAAUGCCUAGGAAUCUGCCUGGUAGUGGGGGAUAACGUCCGGAAACGGGCGCUAAUACCGCAUACGUCCUGAGGGAGAAAGUGGGGGAUCUUCGGACCUCACGCUAUCAGAUGAGCCUAGGUCGGAUUAGCUAGUUGGUGGGGUAAAGGCCUACCAAGGCGACGAUCCGUAACUGGUCUGAGAGGAUGAUCAGUCACACUGGAACUGAGACACGGUCCAGACUCCUACGGGAGGCAGCAGUGGGGAAUAUUGGACAAUGGGCGAAAGCCCGAUCCAGCCAUGCCGCGUGUGUGAAGAAGGUCUUCUGAUUGUAAAGCACUUUAAGUUGGGAGGAAGGGCAGUAAGUUAAUACCUUGCUGUUUUGACGUUACCAACAGAAUAAGCACCGGCUAACUUCGUG
rnacentral:rRNA from 1 species